rnacentral:lncRNA from 1 species
UGGCCAUUCUAUGUGUCAUGGAUUGGGUUGCCCAAAGCACUGGGGCUGAGUUCCAAGGAAUAGUAUUACAAAGACCCACACGAAAGCUUCAGCUUCUUGUGAGCUUGCCCUGGCUCACAGAUCAUUAUUUUUCCCACGUUCUGGUGGUCAGGUAAGUCACUGAAGCCAGCCCAGAGUCAAAGGGAAGACUUAAGUUAACUUCACCUCUUGAUGUAGGAACUGGGAGCAGUCAUCUGUGGAUACUACCAACCACAAAGCACAUGGCAUACCAUACACACAAUGAAUAUCAGUUCACUCUGCCCAAUUUUUACUUUAACUCAUUACUUUUAAAAAACCUUCAAAUAUGUAUUUUUAGAAAGUUCAAGCUGAGCAAAAUUGGACUUUAAAAAUGGUCUAAGAGAGUCUUUUCUUAUUCUACAGAUGGGAAAACUGGAGCCCAAAGGAUGGAAAUACUGAACCCAUGGGCUCUGUCACUAGACUGCAUCCCAGGGCCUCAACAUAAUAUAUUCUUAGUGAAAAAGCAGAAUGAUGGCCAGGCGAGUUCUCUGGCUAGGAAGAAGCCCAGCUGGUAUACACCAUUUUUCUGCACUUCCCCUGGGCAGCCAGAUGACUAGGAUUCAAGGACCAGCCUACCACUUUCUAAGCUGUUUGCCUUGGACAAAUGACUUAUUGCCUCUGAACUUCACUUUACUCACCUGUAAAAUGAGGAGACUCCAGAAGAAUGAGAAGAUUCCAUGAGAUGACUCUAGCAGAUCCAUUUCAGAAAAUACUCUGCGUGUGAAGUUAUUACAAGGAACUUGGCAGGCACACUCCCCUUCACCUAUGGGGCUUUUCUUUUUUCUUCCAUGAGAGCUUCUACCCAGAUAUGCAGAUAGAAGAAAUGUAUUGGUCCCAAAGACAACAAUGUCUGUGAAGCAGGAUUCAAAGAGAUGAAGGGAGGGGAGAACAAGCCUUUCAAAUUAUAGCAAGUGGGUGGUCUUCAACUGCUUUUACUUCUUUUUAAAAUUCCAGAUCAUACUGGGGUAACCUAUUAGAAAGAACCCUGUCCUGGAAUCCUGGAAAAGAGGCCCUGCUAGGAGCUGACCUUGGACAAAUCACUCCCUUCUCUGAACCUCACUGUUCAGGGGGCUGAGAACAGAGGGUCCCUAAGGAAGAGUGUUGUAUGAGAACAGUCUCCGCUCUUGACCCAAGCAAACCUGGCUUCAAAUCUCAACUCCUGUGGCUGACUAGCUGUAUGACCUUGACCUUUCUCAGUUUCCUCAUCUAUAAAGCAGGAUUAAUAAAAGGUACCUAUCUAAUAUGACUGUUCUGAGAAUAAAAUGAAAUAAACUACAUAGGUGAUUUGACAUUGUGCUUGGUUUACAGUAGGUGUUUAAUAAAAGGAAAUUGCUAUAUUAUUA